AGGUAUUGCAACAUGAAUACAUAGUGUUGCAAGGCGAACGAGGGGAAGUGAAACAUCUCAGUACCCUUAGGAAAAGAAAUCAAUUGAGAUUCCCUCAGUAGCGGCGAGCGAACGGGGAUCAGCCCAUUAAGUUAUGUGUGUUUUAGUGGAACGCUCUGGGAAGUGCGAACGUAGAGGGUGAUAUUCCCGUACACGAAAGGGCACACAUAAUGAUGACGAGUAGGGCGAGGCACGUGAAACCUUGUCUGAAUAUGGGGGGACCAUCCUCCAAGGCUAAAUACUCCUGACUGACCGAUAGUGAACCAGUACCGUGAGGGAAAGGCGAAAAGAACCCCUGUGAGGGGAGUGAAAUAGAUCCUGAAACCGCAUGCAUACAAGCAGUGGGAGCACCUUUGUGGUGUGACUGCGUACCUUUUGUAUAAUGGGUCAGCGACUUAUAUUCAGUAGCGAGGUUAACCGUAUAGGGGAGCCGUAGAGAAAUCGAGUCUUAAUAGGGCGUUUAGUUGCUGGGUAUAGACCCGAAACCAGGCGAUCUAUCCAUGAGCAGGUUGAAGGUUGGGUAACACUAACUGGAGGACCGAACCCACUGUCGUUGAAAAGCCAGGGGAUGACUUGUGGAUAGGGGUGAAAGGCUAAUCAAGCCUGGUGAUAGCUGGUUCUCCCCGAAAGCUAUUUAGGUAGCGCCUCGGACGAAUACCAUUGGGGGUAGAGCACUGUU
rnacentral:rRNA from 1 species